rnacentral:rRNA from 1 species
UACGUAGGGAGCGAGCGUUGUCCGGAUUCAUUGGGCGUAAAGAGCUCGUAGGCGGUUCGGUAAGUCGGGUGUGAAAUCUCCGUGCUCAACACGGAGCGGCCACCUGAUACUGCCGUGACUCGAGUCCGGUAGGGGAGUGUGGAAUUCCCGGUGUAGCGGUGAAAUGCGCAGAUAUCAGGAAGAACACCAAUGGCGAAGGCAGCUCUCUGGGACGGUACUGACGCUGAGACGCGAAAGCGUGGGGAGCGAACAGG